rnacentral:rRNA from 1 species
ACUCAAAUGAAUUGACGGGGACCCGCACAAGCAGCGGAGCGUGUGGUUUAAUUCGAUGCAACGCGAAGAACCUUACCAGGAUUUGACAUGACCAGGACACCACCAGAGAUGGUGCUCCCUUCGGGGCUUGGUCACAGGUGCUGCAUGGCUGUCGUCAGCUCGUGCCGUGAGGUGUUGGGUUAAGUCCCGCAACGAGCGCAACCCUCAUUGCUAGUUGGACAUGUCUAGCGAGACUGCCGCGUCUAACGUGGAGGAAGGUGGGGAUGACGUCAAGUCAGCACGGCCCUUACAUCCUGGGCGACACACACGCUACAAUGGUCGGGACAACGAGAUGCGAACUCGCGAGAGGGAGCCAAUCUUCUCAAACCCGGUCACAGUUCAGAUUGCAGGCUGCAACUCGCCUGCAUGAAGCUGGAGUUGCUAGUAACCGUGAGUCAGCACAUCACGGUGAAUACGUUCCCGGGUCUUGUACACACCGCCCGU